CCUACGGGAGGCAGCAGUGGGGAAUAUUGGGCCGUGGACGAAACUCUGACCCAGCAACGCCGCGUGAAUGAUGAAGGUCUUCGGAUUGUAAAGUUCUUUUCUACGGGAAGAAGAAAGUGACGGUACCUUAGGAAUAAGCCUCGGCUAACUACGUGCCAGCAGCCGCGGUAAUACGUAGGAGGCGAGCGUUAUCCGGAUUGACUGGGCGUAAAGGGCGUGUAGGUGGUUGGGUAAGUUAGUCGCGUAACUCCAAGGCUCAACCUUGGAACUACUACUGAAACUGUUGGUCUUGAGUGCAGGAGGGGCAGCCGGAAUUCCGAGUGUAGCGGUGAAAUGCGUAGAUAUUAGGAGGAACACCAGUGGCGAAGGCGGGUUGCUGGACAUUAACUGACGCUGAGGCGCGAAAGCGUGGGGAGCAAACAGGAUUAGAUACCCGAGUAGUC
rnacentral:rRNA from 1 species